rnacentral:tRNA from 1 species
ACUUAAUUAGUUUAUGAAAAAAUAAUAAUUUGUGGAAUUAUAGAUGUUAAUUACAUUAGGUAG